UCUACUGAACUCACAGCACAGUGCACAGCAGCUGGUCCGCUUGUAAAUGCUGCCGUGAGAAGACAAACCAACUCUAGAAAACUAUGCAUCUUUGGAACAAAACUAGUCCCUGAUUCGGACCAAAGCACCAAAGGUCAGAAAGCACCCUUAGAGAUUAUUUCAACCAAACUGUUUGUGAUUGCUGGAACAGUGGACUAACUGACUGCAUGACUAACAAGACUAACUCAGACCUACCUGGCUUUGGAGAAAGCAUUAGCCCUGACCAGAGGAGGCUCACAAAUCUUCCCCCGUUAAAUUGAUGCUAUUACCUGCGCUCAGCUCAAAAGUGAAGAAGAGGAAUGAGCCGCACCGCUGGAAAAAUCAACAUGCUAAGACUGUUCCUGAACUAAACUUCAGCUGAGAGGAGAGACAGAGAGGCAGAUUGAAAUUCAACUCAUGCAGCAGACAGGAAGAGAGACCAAAAGAAAGACAGAACUCGAAUUACCGCCCUGUUGUUAGAAGAUGCGUAUUCUAAAACAUGGCUGGUGCAAACAUAUCUUCAACCUGGCAGCACAGAAGAUCUUUACAAUCAGCACAGUUUCAGAGUGGACACCCAAGAUUAGAGUCACCAAUUGACCUAUGGCUAAGUCCCGCCCUCAAACACGAUGAGCCAGUCAC